ACACGGACCAAGGAGUGCAACAUGCGUGCGAGUCUUUGGGUGGCAAACCCGUCGGCGCAAUGAAAGUGAAGGCAGGCGUUUUGGCCUGCUGUGGCGAGAGCCUCCCAUCUCGGUGGGGGCGCAUCGUCGACCGAUCCCAAGCUACGCUGUGGCGGGAUUUGAGUGAGAGCGUGCCUGUUGCGACCCGAAAGAUGGUGAACUAUGCCUGAAUAGGGUGAAGCCAGAGGAAACUCUGGUGGAAGCUCGCAGCGAUUCUGACGUGCAAAUCGAUCGUCAAAUUUGGGUAUAGGGGCGAAAGACUAAUCGAACCAUCUAGUAGCUGGUUCCCUCCGAAGUUUCCCUCAGGAUAGCUGGAGCCCGGUGCAGUUUUAUCAGGUAAAGCGAAUGAUUAGAGGUCUUGGGGCCGAAACGGCCUCAACCUAUUCUCAAACUUUAAAUGGGUAAGAAGUCUGGCUUGCUCGGUUGAAGUCGGACGCAGAAUGCCGGGGCUCCCAGUGGGCCAUUUUUGGUAAGCAGAACUGGCGAUGUGGGAUGAACCGAAAGUCAGGUUAAGGUGCCGGAAUCGACGCUCAUCAGAUCCCAUGAAAGGUGUUGGUUGAUACAGACAGCAGGACGGUGGCCAUGGAAGUCGGAAUCCGCUAAGGAGUGUGUAACAACU
rnacentral:rRNA from 1 species